GCGGCCUAUCAGCUUGUUGGUGAGGUAAUGGCUCACCAAGGCGACGACGGGUAGCCGGCCUGAGAGGGCGACCGGCCACACUGGGACUGAGACACGGCCCAGACUCCUACGGGAGGCAGCAGUGGGGAAUAUUGGGCAAUGGAGGGAACUCUGACCCAGCGACGCCGCGUGCGGGAUGAAGGCCUUCGGGUUGUAAACCGCUUUCAGCAGGGAAGAAGCGAAAGUGACGGUACCUGCAGAAGAAGCACCGGCUAACUAUGUGCCAGCAGCCGCGGUAAUACAUAGGGUGCAAGCGUUGUCCGGAAUUAUUGGGCGUAAAGAGUUCGUAGGUGGUUCGUUACGUCGGAUGUGAAAAUCUGGGGCUCAACCCCAGACCUGCAUUCGAUACGGGCGAGCUAGAGUUUGGUAGGGGAGACUGGAAUUCCU
rnacentral:rRNA from 1 species